UUCAUUCUAAAGGACCCUUGUGGUGACAUUGGGCCCGCCCAGAUAAUCCAGGAUGAUGUCCCCAUGUCAAGAUAAGACACACAGGAAUAAGAAAAUGAACAUCCCCUGGAAGGCGUUGCUGAUGGUGAAGAGGGUCUUUCACAAGUUAUCCUAAAACUGUUUGCCAGAAUCUGGAAAAUGAGAACAAGAUCUUCACGGACUUAACAAAAAUCUGCAAGCUUCAAAAGGAAAGGAUAUGUGAUAGUGAAACCGUGCAGAAGGUGAAUUUGGAAAAACUGAGUUUGCCUCUACCUCUCAGUAGCU